rnacentral:antisense_RNA from 1 species
CCUACCUUAGGGGAAGUUCCCCUGGCCCUUCCCAACUACCUCCCCUGUGCAAGUUUAUUACAACUGAACGGCUUCAAGAAUGGAGUCUGUCUCUGUUGCCCAAGCUGGAGUGUGUUGGCACCAUCUUGGUUUACUGCAACUUCCACCUCCCAGGCUCAAGUGAUUCUCGUGCCUCAGCCUCAAGGGUAAGCUGAGAUUACAGGCAUUUUCCCUACAUUUUCAAAGGCCUGCAUCAUCACACCUGCCGCAGCUUUCUCUAUCAUUGAGGCAUUUUCUCAGGAAAUCACCUGUGAAAUAUUUUGCAGCUAACCACCUACCUGUGCCCCGCCAGCCAACCUGCUUUACUCCUGCCAGGCAGGUUCUC